rnacentral:sRNA from 1 species
AGCUACAUCCGUCACCUGACACGGCCCUACCAGGAACAGCCGCGCUCCCGCGGAUUCUGGUGCUGCUCGCGUCCCCGCUCCCCUAUUCCCCUUAUUUUAUUCCUGGCUCCCCUCGUCGAAAGUCUUCCAUUCUUCAAACUAGAUUAUUUAAAAAUGAAAAAGGAAGAAAGGAAAGCGAGGUCAUCUCAUUGCUCUAUCCGCCAAUCAGGAGGCUGAAUGUCAGUUUUGAACUAAAAGCCGCUCCGCUCCUCUUCUAGAUUUGGAAAACAAGCGAAAUUAAACUAAACCGCUGCACGCCUCUGACGCGACAUCUGGACACGGCGCGGCGCUGGCGCUGCCGGAGCUGUCGACCCGGCCUGGCGCCGGACUAGUGUCCCUUUUGAUGAGAAGAAUAAGCCUCAUUCUGAUUCAACAGCAGAGAUCAAAGAAAAGACUUCUGUUUUCUGGCCACCAGAUAUAUGUUAUCUGUGCUUAAAGAAUUGAAAAACACACAUCAAAGGAGAAUUUUCUUGGAAAGAGAGGGUUCAAGCAUCACUGUUAGGUGUGCUGGAAUCCUUUCCCGAGUCAGUACUGCUUUCUAGAAGAAAACCGGGGAGAUCUAUUUGGAAUGUAUCUAACUCCAAAGAAACCAUCAGAGGUAACAGUAGAGACGGGGUUUCACCAUGUUGGCCAGACUGGUCUUGAACUCUCGACCUCGUGAUUCGCCCGCCUCGGCCUCCCAAAGUGCUGGGAUUACAGGUGUGAGACACCACACCCGGCGGAUAGAGAGAAUUUUGACAGAUUGGCUUCUCUCACAUGGCAAGAAACAUUGCUGCUAGCACUUCCCGAGUUCUACGUUCUACAACAUCCACCACUGGAUCUUAACAUAGACGUAAGAUCAAAUGCAAUAGCAUGUCAAACAAUGUGUAACUCCAGUUAUACAAACAUUACUGUAUCUCAUUGGGGAUACGAAGCUCUACACACUUGAAGAUGGUGAAGGAAUAUAAAAAUCUAUGUCUCACAGUCCAGACUUGGAGUACAAGUAAUAAGAAGAAUAAAACUUAAUCCCUUAAGUAGAUUCACCAUAAGUUAGCUCAGAGCAAUUCCAGUGCAAGUAUGGUCUGUGAUCCAGUAGUAUCUUACAGACAGCAAGUUGAACAUUGUGGGAUGCAUGAGCUAUUGAGGCCUUUGCAGCUUUCUGCUACAUGGAGGCUAGGGCCAGAGUCAAGAUUUAUGCUUUGCAGCACACUGGUCAGCUGUUUUUGCAAAUCAGAUUAAAUGAUUUUUAAAUGAGGCUGAGAGCAUGGGAGAUACUAAUGUGUGUUUCCUUGUGAGCUACUGCAUAAGUUAGGAAAUUGAAAUACAGAAAGAUGAAAAGUGAUUUGCCCAAGCAUAUAGAUCAAAGCUGUGGCAGAACCAGGACUGGAACCUAUAUCUCUCUACUAAUGGUUUUUUUAAAAAAAUAACCUUGUUUCAAAAAUAUUAAAAAGUCACAAGAAAGGUAAACAUGUGGAUAAACAAAAUGAAGAAAAUAAAAAUUAUCCAGUAAUAACAUAUUGGCAUAUGUCUUUCUGGUAUAUUUUCCUGUGUUGUCAUCAUUAUCAUCUCCAUCAUCAUUAUAUCCAUCAUUAUCAUCAUCAUCAUCAUCAUCAUCAUCAUUAUCAUCACCAUAGUGAACAUGUAAUGCUUACCUAGUGCCAGAUGCUGUCUAGGCAUUUUACAUGUGUUACUGGUAACUCAUGUAAUCCUCAUAACAACCUUAUAAGGUGGUUGCUAUUAUCCCCAUGUUACAUAUGAAGAGACAGAAGCAUAAAGAAGUUGCACCGCUGGUAAUUGGCUGGGAUUUGAACUUAAGCAGUCUAACCUUAGAGUAAUGAUUUUAACAACUAUGCUAUAUACAUACAAAUUUACAAAAUAAAACUGGGCUCAGACAAUAAAAAAAAAAAAAAAAAAAAAAAAA